GGUCGCAAUUAUGGCUUCCUGAAUGUCGAGAAAAUGUUAAUCACCUUUACAAUUUGUUGCAUUUUUGUGUGAUUGUUCAAGAAUACCAUUUAAAUUAGGACACCAAAAAGGCAUACUGGUGUGGCACAUGUGUUCUUGAAAUAUCUGCUAUGUGAUUUAACGCGCUGGACCAUUUGUGUAUUGUUGAAUGUUUCUGAUGGUUUGGGGUUCAUAUUCCUGUCCAGAUUUGGCAGAUCGCCUUGGGCCAAAUAUUGUUUGAGUGAUAUUCUGUGUAAAGAUCUCGACAAUGAUGUUCUGUUGGAACUGUAGAUGUGGCGCAAAUAUCCUCGUGAGGACAAUCCACACGGCACUUUGCGUUGGAGUGCCAGUCACGCUCCUGGUCAAAGAUACAAUUUUGAGUCGGGCGGUGAUACAGACACAGGACUUACUGUAUGGUAUUGCUUAUCUCCUCUUGAUGUCACUCUCCAUCAUCUUCUAUUACCUUGCCUGCUUCAUCGACCCAGGAUAUCUGCCGCUCAAAAAGAAGAAAGCAUCAGUCAAUAACAAUUCUGAAGAUGAAGGCUCUGAUGAAGACAGCAGCAUGCUGAAGAAUGGAGAUAAAGAUGUCAAAUACCGCAUGUGUGACUACUGUGAAAUACAGCAACCAAUGAGAGCCAAGCACUGUGAGGACUGCAAGCGGUGUGUGAGGAAGUAUGAUCACCACUGUCCGUGGCUGGAGGCAUGUGUCGGGGAGCGCAACCACAAGUUCUUCCUGUUGUUUCUCCUGGCCACGGCCAUGUUGGUGUUGUGGACGUUCUACAUUGCCUGGAAUGCCAUCGUGUUCCGCCUGGACUGGUCAGAGUGGUUCAAAGCCAACUUCCUCUUCUUCAUCGACAUCAUCAUCCUGAUCUUCGGAGGGUUCGUCGUCGUGGGUCUCCUGUGCUUCCACUCCUACCUGAUGGUCAAGGGGAUGACCACAUGGGAAGCUGCGUCCCGGGAGAGGAUCACAUAUCUGAAAUAUCUUGAUGAUGACUAUAAUCCAUUUGACGAGGGUGUGUGCAAAAAUAUGUACUACUUCCUGUGCGUGUGCAAGGUGCGGAAGUGGGAGAGUGUGUAUUCCAAGAAAGCCGAUGUCAAUGGAAAUGGAGGUAUUGUGUGAAUGUCGAGAUGACUGAAAUAUUUCGUCACGUUAAGCUUAGAUAAUUCCAGAUAAGCCUAACACCAGUCUAAGUAAACUUAGGCUCAGUAUUAUUCAUUACACUGCUAUACUGAGUCUAACAAACCAUAGUAGAAGGUCACGUCAGCUAACCUUUUGAAUUGACCAAUCAGAACACAGCUGACCAAAUCGCGAAAGUUAACAUUCGCACAUACCGUUUGAACUUUUACCUCGAAAAUGUUUGUACCCGAAUCAUUCCGAAUACUAUUUUCUGCACGAUCGCUUCCGAGUGAUAUACAUGGCAGUGAGUAAACAGUCGCUGAAAAUAGGUGUUUUGUCAAUAUUCCGUGUGGAAAUAUAAGCUAAUAGUAACCAUAUCAUCAGAAACCCCUAAGCAGGUCAAAUAUCUGUGUUUUAUGCAGAUUUUCGUUUGUUGAGAGAUCACAGUGUCGGCGACCUGGGAAGAGCAAAUCCAAAACAUUUUGUCCCACCAAACCCUAAAUACUAGUAGUAGCCGUUGUCUGAUUGUUUAAAUCCGUUCUGCUGUCUCACGUUUGACUGGAUGGUUAUAGAUCGCUUAAAGGUUACCUGACGCGACCUUCCAUAAGGUUUUGUAAGACUCAGUAUAG
rnacentral:misc_RNA from 1 species